AUGGUGACUGGCAACUGCUUUUGAUUCACUCACAGUUGGGUGGCAGCAGGAGUCAUUGUGGCUUAGUGUAGGCAGCAGCCAGAUUCAAGCAUAGCCUAUUUUCAUCCAACUACAGUUGGUAGCUACACAGUCCAUCAGGCUCCAGUAGCUUCUCAGUUACUAUUGCCUAUGCACCAGCAUUUGCCACAGUUGCAGUUACCAGGCCUGCAGUUGCUGCUGCACCAACUGCUGCUUAUGAAAGCUACCCCACUGCACACACAGCAACUGAUCAUGGUUAUACUCAGGGGCAACAAGAAGAACCACCCACCUGCCGCUACUACACAAAACUACCAGGACUCAUACUCAUAUGUGAGAUCCACAACUCCUGAUAGCUUAUGAUAGUAAGCACUACCACCAACAACUAACAGAAACUGCUGCUGGUAUAGCUGCCAAUCACUAACCUUGGCCUUCUGUAGCUGAAGCUUACUAUCAGACUGCUCUUAAAUCCCAGGCACAACUCAGUAUACUCAAGCCCAGCAAACUCGACAAGUGACAGCUAUAAAAUAAGUCACAGCAAGUUCAGCUGUCGCAACUUUAUUUAUCCUAUAUCCUCCACUGUACAUCCAGUAGCAGCUGCAGCUGCUGUUGUGCCAUCCUAUACUCAGAGUGCUACUUGCAGUACCACAGCAGUUAUUUAUCCUGGUAAAUUUUAUUCAGUUUAUGAAGCAGCAGUGUAUUCAGCUGCAUCUUUCUACAAUUAACAGCUGCUUGAACAGGAACUAUCUUUACUAAAGAAGCACAAUUCGAAAAUACAAAAUAAACAACUGAAGCUAAAACAGCCUCCCAAGCCACCAAAGAUUCACAAUCUUGAUGUUUGUAACACCACCUGUGCCAUACCACAGACUUGUAAGCCACAGUCAGAAGGACAGAAACAAUUACAAGUUGUUGCUUCUGCUGGUGUUUUGUGAGGCUGCAAAGAAACCCUCACAAAAUAUCAGCAGAAGCAACAACUCUACUCAUGGGACUCAAAAUCAGCUACACUGUAAGCUCCUCAAUGUGUCUUGUACUGGAGCAGAUGCAACAGAACCAAAUGUUACUAGCCAAGCUACUUUUCCAACAGCUGUGUCUGCUUCAAAAUCAACUACCAAUCCUUUAAGCAAUUGUACUGUGAAUACUUCAUCAAUUGCAACUUCUUCAGUGAAGAGUCUUGUGACUACAGGAAAUUCGUCUCUUAACAGCACAUCGAAGACUAAAGUGUCAGCAUUGCCCACAAAUAUGGCUGCCAAAAAAUAUCUACCCCAAAAUCAAUUUCAUUGGUAAUAAUAAGCCACAAUCAUCAUGAAAUAAAACACAGUACUUAGAAGGAACUGCAUCUGUUAAAAGUAUUCUUUUUAUUUCUAUGGUGCAGAUUCCUGAAGUAAAUCAAGAGACAGUGUGAGAAAAAAAAUCAAACCUGUAUAUUUUGCUGCUUUCCAGAAUGAUGCGCAGCCAGUGGGUCAUGAUUACCUGGAGGAGGUUUAAAAUGAAGAAGGAAAGGUAGUUCACUUCCAUUGUAAAUCAUGCAAGUGAAGCUUUAAUAAUCCCAAUGUUAAGGAGAUUCACUUAAAAGGGUGAAGACACAUACUUCAAAAUAGAAAAAAGAAAAAUUUAGAUUUGCAAGUAGAAGUAAAGCCUAGUAUUUUUGAAAGAAAGAUUGAAUAAGAGAAAAUGCAAAAGCAAAUGCAGAAGGACUACUGAUGAAGGCAAGAGGAGCAACGCUGGAGUAUGGUAAUGCAAUGUUAUGAAAAGUGCAUGUUCUGGAGGAAGAACAGCAUCAUUGAGAUGAUAACCACCAAAUGCCUGUUGGAGAAUAUCCUCAUGAUCUCUGGUCCCAGACUCCUGGGAGUGUGACCAGGCAUUACUCCUCAGCUACAGGGGCCUGCACGCUUACAACAUCCUGACUCAUCUGAUGACUUCUAUGUAAUGAGAAAAUAUGCAAUGAUUUAUCUAGUUGAAAAGAAGUAACAGGAAGUUCAGAAAAUUGUUUCUAUUACUGAAUGUACUUUAAAAUUUAUUUCAGGCACUUUCUCUGAACAUGAGAAGAGCAAGAGCAAAGAAGAAGGUCAUAAGAAAGAGAGAGGUAAAGAGAGUUUUAAAAGAAGUUAUGCAAGUGGAAGUUUUGACAAGAGAGUUACUUCUCCAAGGACAACCUUGUUUUUCUGCAUUCAGGGAAACCUUCAAAGAUAUUAUUAAGACAUAUUGCAGAAAACCUAUCCAAACAGCUUGCUGUUUUAAACAUUGAGAAGUAUGAAAUAAGAUGUGCUGUAUCUGAAGUGGUAAUAAUUUUGAAUUCAUGCGUGGAACCCAAAAUGCAAGCCACUGUCACUCCUAUCAUCUCCAAUUAUUCAAGAAGAUAGCAUGGAGAAAAGAGAUCUAACUUCACGUAUGGUGAAAGACCUACCCGAUGUCUUGGACAGGUAAAAAUGCCUUUAUGCUCUGGUUGCUCUAUGCCAUGCUAAGUGAUUCCAAGGUAGAACGAAUAGUCUGCAGUACUCUGUGAUUAUCAUACGUAUUCUUCAAGAAUUCUGUAAGCAGGAAUUCCAACUUGGUGUAAUUUUCCAAGCUGAGCUAUAGAGUUAUUAGCAGAGAAAGCAAUCAGCUAAUCCUUGGAUCCCUGCGCAGAUGCAGUGAGAAGAGUUUUCAAGUACAUUUAAUCAGUGGUUAUUAUUAGAAGUAGUCCUGGAUUUCUGGAACCUUGUAAAAAGAAUUACGUGGAUGCCUUGGCAACAAUGACAGACCAGUAGUGAGAGAACAUCACAUCCAGUGCAGUUUGCAUUGAGCCUCCUUGUAUUCCUCCAGAUCCACGAAGAUUUAGGCAUGGACCCAUUACCCCAAAUGAGCAAAAAUGUUAACAUCCACAAUAGGAAACAUAGAAGGGAUAGUGAUAGAUUUGAUAAAUUUGAAGCUGAGGGGGGAAAAAUAUAAAAAAAGAUUAUGAUAACUUGUAAAGAG
rnacentral:lncRNA from 1 species